rnacentral:rRNA from 1 species
AAUAGCCACUGGAAACGGUGAGUAAUACCUUAUACGCCCUUCGGGGAAAGAUUUAUCGGAUUUGGAUCGGCCCGCGUUAGAUUAGGUAGUUGGUGGGGUAACGGCCUACCAAGCCUACGAUCUAUAGCUGGUUUUAGAGGAUGAUCAGCAACACUGGGACUGAGACACGGCCCAGACUCCUACGGGAGGCAGCAGUGGGGAAUCUUGGACAAUGGGCGCAAGUGAUCCAGCCAUGCCGCGUGAGUGAUGAAGGCCUUAGGGUCGUAAAGCUCUUUCGCCAGGGAUGAUAAUGACAGUACCUGGUAAAGAAACCCCGGCUAACUCCGUGCCAGCAGCCGCGGUAAUACGGAGGGGGUUAGCGUUGUUCGGAAUUACUGGGCGUAAAGCGUACGUAGGCGGAUCAGAAAGUUGGGGGUGAAAUCCCGGGGCUCAACCCCGAACUGCCUCCAAAACUCCUGGUCUAGAGUUCGAGGGAGGUGAGUGGAAUUCCGAGUGUAGAGGUGAAAUUCGUAGAUAUUCGGAGGAACACCAGUGGCGAAGGGGCUCACUGGCUCGAUACUGACGCUGAGGUACGAAAGUGUGGGGAGCAAACAGGAUUAGAUACCCUGGUAGUCCACACCGUAAACGAUGAAUGCCAGUCGUCGGGUAGCAUGCUAUUCGGUGACCCACCUAACGGAUUAAGCAUUCCGCCUGGGGAGUACG